rnacentral:rRNA from 1 species
GACAGAGGGUGCAAACGUUGCUCGGAAUCACUGGGCGUAAAGGGCGUGUAGGCGGGAAGGAUAGUCAGAUGUGAAAGCCCUGGGCUCAACCCAGGAACUGCAUUUGAAACUCCCUUUCUUGAGUGUCGGAGAGGAAAGCGGAAUUCCUGGUGUAGAGGUGAAAUUCGUAGAUAUCAGGAGGAACACCGGUGGCGAAGGCGGCUUUCUGGACGACAACUGACGCUGGAGACGCGAAAGCGUGGGGAGCAAACAGG